rnacentral:rRNA from 1 species
UCUUAUGUACAUGCCUACAUUUUUAAUGCAUCGGAUCCCAUUAGAACUAUGUAGUUAAGCACGCUUGGGCCCAAGUAGUAUCGAGAUGGGUGACUUCUCAGGAAGUCCUAGUGUUUUACAUGCC